UACGUAGGGUGCAAGCGUUGUCCGGAAUUAUUGGGCGUAAAGAGCUCGUAGGCGGUUUGUCGCGUCUGCUGUGAAAACCCGAGGCUCAACCUCGGGCCUGCAGUGGGUACGGGCAGACUAGAGUGCGGUAGGGGGAGACUGGAAUUCCUGGUGUAGCGGUGAAAUGCGCAGAUAUCAGGAGGAACACCGGUGGCGAAGGCGGGUCUCUGGGCCGUAACUGACGCUGGAGGAGCG
rnacentral:rRNA from 1 species